CUUCUAAUCGUGCACGAUGGAAGGUAUGUCCAGAAAUAUUAGGCGAAAGCCAUCCUUCUUCUUUCAUGGAGUCAUGUACCAUCACCUUGUACGAGUCUAGGUGCCGCUUGAGGCUGAAGAGAAAAUGGAAGAAUGUAACAUUUGACGCAAUCUCAACCAGCAUGCAUAAUGCGGUGAAACCGCUGAUAUACCACCACGCAUUCGGCAUCACCGUACACAGCAAUAUCUCAAAAUAUUGGAGGAGCACCACAAAAAAAGGGAUGGAGAGGAACCCUCAGCCCGGCUCAGAAGCACUCUUCAUAGAAAUCCAUAUAUCCUGAAGGU
rnacentral:lncRNA from 1 species